rnacentral:misc_RNA from 1 species
AAGUCGUAACAAGGUUUCCGUAGGUGAACCUGCGGAAGGAUCAUCAUUGAAUCCAAUUUCUAUACACCCUUGUGAAUUUGGCAGCUCCAAAUCUCCGUGAUUGUUGCGGGGAGGUCGGGGCAGGCCAGCUUUUUUAUGCUUUGAUGUUGGCGGAGUUCAGUGUAGGUACCGGUCGAAUUCGGCCGGUACUGCUGUCCGCCGGCUCAAACACUUGUUAAAACAAACUCUGUUACAAAACGAAAAGCUAAUACAAUUUUUUUGUAAUUAAAACAACUUUCAACAAUGGAUCUCUUGGCUCUC